rnacentral:rRNA from 1 species
AAGGAUAUACCUGUCCCCAUGUCGAACACAGAAGUCAAGCUUCUUAACGCCGAGAGUAGUUGGGGGAUCGCCCCCUGCGAGGGUAGGACGUUGCCAUGC